GGAGAAGUGGCAGAGCGGUUGAAUGCACCGGUCUUGAAAACCGGCAUACUGAGAGGUAUCGGGGGUUCGAAUCCCUCCUUCUCCG
rnacentral:tRNA from 1 species